GGACGAACGCUGGCGGCGUGCUUAACACAUGCAAGUCGAACGGUGAAGGGGCCUGCUUUUGUGGGUCCUGGAUGAGUGGCGAACGGGUGAGUAACACGUGAGUAACCUGCCCCCUUCUUCUGGAUAACCGCAUGAAAGUGUGGCUAAUACGGGAUAUUCUGUGCCUGCUGCAUGGUGGGUGUGGGAAAGAUUGUGCCUUUGGGUGUUUUCGGUGGGGGAUGGGCUCGCGGCCUAUCAGCUUGUUGGUGGGGUGAUGGCCUACCAAGGCGGUGACGGGUAGCCGGCCUGAGAGGGUGGACGGUCACACUGGGACUGAGACACGGCCCAGACUCCUACGGGAGGCAGCAGUGGGGAAUAUUGCACAAUGGGCGCAAGCCUGAUGCAGCGACGCCGCGUGAGGGAUGGAGGCCUUCGGGUUGUGAACCUCUUUCGCCAGUGAAGCAGGCCUGUCCCUUUUGUGGGUGGGUUGACGGUAGCUGGAUAAGAAGCGCCGGCUAACUACGU
rnacentral:rRNA from 1 species